GAUGAACGCUGGCGGCGUGCCUAAUACAUGCAAGUCGAGCGAGCGGACGAGAAGCUUGCUUUUCUGAUGUUAGCGGCGGACGGGUGAGUAACACGUGGAUAACCUACCUAUAAGACUGGGAUAACUUCGGGAAACCGGAGCUAAUACCGGAUAAUAUUUUGAACCGCAUGGUUCAAAAGUGAAAGACGGUCUUGCUGUCACUUAUAGAUGGAUCCGCGCUGCAUUAGCUAGUUGGUAAGGUAACGGCUUACCAAGGCAACGAUGCAUAGCCGACCUGAGAGGGUGAUCGGCCACCCUGGAACUGAGACACGGUCCAGACUCCUACGGGAGGCAGCAGUAGGGAAUCUUCCGCAAUGGGCGAAAGCCUGACGGAGCAACGCCGCGUGAGUGAUGAAGGUCUUCGGAUCGUAAAACUCUGUUAUUAGGGAAGAACAUAUGUGUAAGUAACUGUGCUCAUCUUGACGGUACCUAAUCAGAAAGCCACGGCUAACUACGUG
rnacentral:rRNA from 1 species